AUUAUGAUAUUUGCUUUAUUGUGGUGAUCUGGAACCAAACCCACUAUCUCUGAGGUAUGCUUGUGUAUUAAGAACACCUACAAAUCAUAAUAAAAAGACAAACAAUACAAUAAAAAAGCUAUUGGAUGACUGUUGAUCAGUUCUUUAACUGUUAAGAAUACACAUUCCCUGGGAGGCCGUGGUGGGUGGAUCACCUGAGGUCAGGAGUUCGACACCAGCCUGCCCAGCAUGGUGAAACCCUGU
rnacentral:lncRNA from 1 species